UACGGGGGGGGCAAGCGUUGUUCGGAAUUACUGGGCGUAAAGGGCUCGUAGGCGGCCAACUAAGUCAGACGUGAAAUCCCCAGGCUCAACCUGGGAACUGCGUCUGAUACUGAUUGGCUUGAAUCCGGGAGAGGGCUGCAGAAUUCCAGGUGUAGCGGUGAAAUGCGUAGAUAUCUGGAGGAAUACCGGUGGCGAAGGCGGCAUCCUGGACCGGCAUUGACGCUGAGGAGCGAAAGCCAGGGGAGCAAACGGG
rnacentral:rRNA from 1 species